rnacentral:rRNA from 1 species
AUUGAACGCUGGCGGCAGGCCUAACACAUGCAAGUCGAACGAGUGGCGGACGGGUGAGUAAUGUCUGGGAAACUGCCCGAUGGAGGGGGAUAACUACUGGAAACGGUAGCUAAUACCGCAUACCAUCGGAUGUGCCCAGAUGGGAUUAGCUAGUAGGUGGGGUAACGGCUCACCUAGGCGACGAUCCCUAGCUGGUCUGAGAGGAUGACCAGCAACACGGGAACGGGGACACGGUCAAGACUCCUACGGGAGGCAGCAGUGGGGAAGAUUGCACAAGGGGCGCAAGCCGGAUACAGCAAGGCCGCGUGUAUGAAGAAGGCCUUCGGGUUGUAAAGUACUUUCAGCGAGGAGGCGUUACUCGCAGAAGAAGCACCGGCUAACUCCGUGCCAGCAGCCGCGGUAAUUC